rnacentral:rRNA from 1 species
CCUACGGGAGGCAGCAGUGGGGAAUAUUGCACAAUGGGGGAAACCCUGAUGCAGCGACGCCGCGUGAGUGAAGAAGUAUCUCGGUACGUAAAGCUCUAUCAGCAGGAAAGAAAAUGACGGUACCUGACUAAGAAGCACCGGCUAACUACGUGCCAGCAGCCGCGGUAAAACGUAGGGGGUAAGCGUUAUUCGGAUUUACUGGGGGUAAAGGGAGCGUAGGCGGCGGUGCAAGUCCGGAGUGAAAGCCCAUGGCUUAACCAUGGUACUGCUCUGGAAACUGUAGAGCUUGAGUGCAGGAGGGGCAGGCGGAAUUCCUAGUGUAGCGGUGACAUGCGUAGAUAUUAGGAGGAACACCGGCGGCGAAGGCGGCCUGCUGGACCGUAACUGACGUUGAGGCUCGAAAGCGUGGGGAGCAAACAGGAUUAGAUACCCGAGUAGUC